rnacentral:rRNA from 1 species
CUAAAUACUACCCAGUGACCGAUAGCGUAUAGUACUGUGAAGGAAAGGUGAAAAGGACCCCGGGAGGGGAGUGAAAUAGAACCUGAAACCUUGUGCCUACAAGCACAUAGAGCACAUCAACGUGUGAUAUGGUACUUUUUGUAGAACGGUCCGGCGAGCGAUUGUAUGUUGCGAGCUUAAGGUCUUAAGGACUGGAGGCGCAGCGAGAGCGAGUCUGAAGAGGGCGUUCAGUAACAUGCAAUGGGCCCGAAACCGGGUGACCUACCCAUGAUCAGGCUGAAGUGAAAGUAAAAUUUCAUGGAGGGCCGAACCGACCUCCGUUGAAAAGGCGGCGGAUGAAUUGUGGGUAGCGGAGAAAUUCCAAUCGAACUCGGAGAUAGCUGGUUCUCCCCGAAAUAGCUUUAGGGCUAGCCUCAUAUUAGAUACCCGGAGGUAAAGCACUGAAUGGCCUAGCGCCCGAGAGGGUAGCGAAGCCUAUCAAACUAAGAAUGCCGGAGUAUUGAUGUAUGGGAGUCAGACAGUGUGAGAUAAAUCUCAUUGUCAAAAGGGAAACAGCCCAGAUCUACAGCUAAGGUCCCAAAUUGUAUCUAAGUGGAAAACGAUGUGGAAAUACGCAGACAACCAGGAUGUUGGCUCAGAAGCAGCCACUCAUUUAAAGAGUGCGUAAUAGCUCACUGGUCGAGAGACCCUGCGCCGAAGAUUCCCGGGGCUAAAGUACGAAACCGAAGCUGUGGCUGUAUACGUAAAGUAUACGGGGUAGGGGAGCGUUCCCAUAGGGUAGAAGUCGAACUGGAAGGUUCGGUGGACUUGUGGGAAGUGAGAAUGUUGGUAUGAGUAGCGAAAAGAAAGGUGAGAAUCCUUUCCACCGAAAGCAUAAGGAUUCCUGAGCAACGAUCGUCGUCUCAGGGUAAGUCGGGACCUAAUCCGAGGCAGAGAGCGUAGGAGAUGGACAACUGGUUGAUAUUCCAGUACCGGUAGUAAUUGUUUGAGCAAUGGAGUGACACAGAAGGGCAGGCAAGCAUGCGAAUGGAAGAGCAUGUGUAAGCGUGUAGGGUGGUGCAUAGGCAAAUCCGUGCACUGAAAGCCUGAGGCGUGAUGCGGAGUGAGCAGAGAUGCGAGCGAAGUUGUUGACCCCACACUGUCGAGAAAAGCUUCUAGUGAGAGAGCUACCGCCCGUACCGUAAACCGACACAGGUAUGCGGGGAGAGAAUCCUAAGGUGCGCGGGAGAACCCUCGUUAAGGAACUCGGCAAAAUGUACCCGUAACUUCGGGAUAAGGGUAGCCACUGUUGUGAAGUCCCAUGCGGAUGGAGCAUAGAGUGGUCGCAGAGAAGAGGCCCAAGCGACUGUUUACCAUAAACACAGGUGCCUGCUAAAGCGAAAGCUGACGUAUAGGUGCUGACACCUGCCCAGUGCCGGAAGGUUAAGGAAGGAUGUUCGGAUUAGUCCAAAGCAUUCGACUGAAGCCCCGGUGAACGGCGGCCGUAACUAUAACGGUCCUAAGGUAGCGAAAUUCCUUGUCGGGUAAG